UACGAAGGGUGCAAGCGUUAAUCGGAAUUACUGGGCGUAAAGCGCGCGUAGGUGGUUUUGUAAGUUGGAGGUGAAAUCCCCCGGGCUCAACCUGGGAACUGCCUCCAAAGCUGCAUGACUAGAGUACGGUAGAGGGUGGUGGAAUUUCCUGUGUAGCGGUGAAAUGCGUAGAUAUAGGAAGGAACACCAGUGGCGAAGGCGACCACCUGGACUGAUACUGACACUGAGGUGCGAAAGCGUGGGGAGCAAACAGGAUUAGAUACCCGCGUAGU
rnacentral:rRNA from 1 species